rnacentral:misc_RNA from 1 species
GAAAUGCGAUACUUGGUGUGAAUUGCAGAAUCCCGUGAACCAUCGAGUCUUUGAACGCAAGUUGCGCACGAAGCCCUCGUGGGCAGGGCACGUCUGUCUGGGCGUCACGCACCGCGUCGCCCCCACCCCCCUCCGAAAGCCAGGGGGAUCGGGGCGGAGACUGGCCCCCCGUGUGCCCCGAGGCACGCGGCCGGCCCAAACGCAGACCCCGCGGCCGCUGGACGGCGCGACGAUCGGUGGAGUAGACCCUACGUAUCCCGUCGCGCCCCGAGCGACCCUCGGAGGCCAUGGUUGACCCUGAGAGAAUACCGUUGCGACCCCAGAUCAGGCAGGACUACCAGAUGAGUUUAA